rnacentral:misc_RNA from 1 species
AGAAAAUAUUGCAGGAGCACCAACGGACCUCGGCGCCGAGAGCAGUGAGGGUUUCGAUGAGAACGGCGGUCUGGAUGGUCAUGUGGAGGGAACCGGUGAUGCGAGCUCCCUUGAAUGGCUGGGAAGGGCCGAAUUCGGCUCGGCAGGCCAUGAGACCGGGCAUUUCGACCUCUGCGAGCUCGAUCUCGAGACGACCAAAGUCGGCCUGAGACAUGUCCUUG